UACGAAGGGGGCUAGCGUUGUUCGGAUUUACUGGGCGUAAAGCGCACGUAGGCGGAUCAUUAAGUGAGGGGUGAAAUCCCAGGGCUCAACCCUGGAACUGCCUUUCAUACUGGCGAUCUCGAGUCCGGAAGAGGUGAGUGGAACUCCUAGUGUAGAGGUGGAAUUCGUAGAUAUUAGGAAGAACACCAGUGGCGAAGGCGGCUCACUGGUCCGGUACUGACGCUGAGGUGCGAAAGCGUGGGGAGCAAACAGG
rnacentral:rRNA from 1 species